GACGAACGCUGGCGGCGUGCCUAAUACAUGCUAGUUGAGCGCUGAAGGUUGGUACUUGUCCCAACUGGAUGAGCAGCGAACGGGUGAGUAACGCGUGGGGAAUCUGCCUUUGAGCGGGGGACAACAUUUGGAAACGAAUGCUAAUACCGCAUAAAAACUUUAAACACAAGUUUUAAGUUUGAAAGAUGCAAUUGCAUCACUCAAAGAUGAUCCCGCGUUGUAUUAGCUAGUUGGUGAGGUAAAGGCUCACCAAGGCGAUGAUACAUAGCCGACCUGAGAGGGUGAUCGGCCACAUUGGGACUGAGACACGGCCCAAACUCCUACGGGAGGCAGCAGUAGGGAAUCUUCGGCAAUGGACGAAAGUCUGACCGAGCAACGCCGCGUGAGUGAAGAAGGUUUUCGGAUCGUAAAACUCUGUUGGUAGAGAAGAACGUUGGUGAGAGUGGAAAGCUCAUCAAGUGACGGUAACUACCCAGAAAGGGACGGCUAACUACGUG
rnacentral:rRNA from 1 species